GAAAUAUGAUGAUCAAAUAAUAGCUGCUAACUAAUUAUUUUAAUGGUUUAACUCCAUUUAUAUUUCU
rnacentral:tRNA from 1 species